GUGAGGAAUAUUGGUCAAUGGGCGGGAGCCUGAACCAGCCAAGUCGCGUGAAGGAAGAAGGAUCUAUGGUUCGUAAACUUCUUUUGCAGGGGAAUAAAGUGCGGGACGUGUCCUGUUUUGUAUGUACCCUGAGAAUAAGGAUCGGCUAACUCCGUGCCAGCAGCCGCGGUAAUACGGAGGAUCCGAGCGUUAUCCGGAUUUAUUGGGUUUAAAGGGUGCGUAGGUGGUUUGAUAAGUCAGCGGUGAAAGUUUGCAGCUUAACUGUAAAAAUGCCGUUGAAACUGUCGGACUUGAGUGUAAAUGAGGUAGGCGGAAUGCGUGGUGUAGCGGUGAAAUGCAUAGAUAUCACGCAGAACUCCGAUUGCGAAGGCAGCUUACUAAGCUACAACUGACACUGGAGCACGAAAGCGUGGGGAUCAAACAGGAUUAGAAACCCUGGUAGUCC
rnacentral:rRNA from 1 species